AGUUAUAACUUUGAUACUGAUUUAAUGAAAAAAAGAAAUAGUGGAAGGGAUAAUAAAAAUAGAAAAAAUGAAACCAUGGGGUACUAAAUCAAUAUAUUUUAAAUUACAAGAUACCAAAGUGAGAAAGUGUAAAACCAUAGGAGUAGCAUUUGAAUUUUUUCUAUAUAAUAACAUACACCAAGUAUAUAUAUACACCAGAUAUAUAUA
rnacentral:lncRNA from 1 species